GCCUACGGGGCGCAGCAGUGAGGAAUAUAGGUCAAUGGUCGGGAGACUGAACCAGCCAAGCCGCGUGAGGGAUGAAGGUACAGAGUAUCGUAAACCUCUUUUGUCAGGGAACAAAGGCGGGGACGUGUCCCCGGAUGAGUGUACCUGAAGAAAAAGCAUCGGCUAACUCCGUGCCAGCAGCCGCGGUAAUACGGAGGAUGCGAGCGUUAUCCGGAUUUAUUGGGUUUAAAGGGUGCGUAGGCGGUCUGUUAAGUCAGCGGUCAAAGCCCGGGGCUCAACCCCGGCCCGCCGUUGAAACUGGCAGG
rnacentral:rRNA from 1 species